UAGGGUAUAGCCAAGCGGUAAGGCAUCGUUUUUUGAUAACGACAUACGAAGGUUCGAUUCCUUCUACCCUAA
rnacentral:tRNA from 1 species